UACGAAGGGGGCAAGCGUUGUUCGGAAUUAUUGGGCGUAAAGGGCGCGUAGGCGGUGCGGUAAGAGUGUUGUGAAAUCCCCGGGCUCAACCCGGGAACUGCGUCCGAUACUGGGAGGCUUGAAUCCGGGAGAGGGAUGUGGAAUUCCAGGUGUAGCGGUGAAAUGCGUAGAUAUCUGGAGGAACACCGGUGGCGAAGGCGGCAUCCUGGACCGGUAUUGACGCUGAGGCGCGAAAGCCAGGGGAGCAAACGGG
rnacentral:rRNA from 1 species